UUGCAAUGAUGACUUAUAUAUCUGUCAAUCCCCUGAGAGAUCACUGACGACUCCAUGUGUCUGAGCAA
ensembl:snoRNA Snord110 small nucleolar RNA SNORD110